UACAGAGGGGGCAAGCGUUGUUCGGAAUUACUGGGCGUAAAGGGCGCGUAGGCGGCCUGUUAAGUCGAACGUGAAAUCCCCGGGCUCAACCCGGGAACUGCGUCCGAUACUGGCAGGCUUGAAUCCGGGAGAGGGAUGUGGAAUUCCAGGUGUAGCGGUGAAAUUCGUAGAUAUCGGGAGGAACACCAAUGGCGAAGGCAGCUCGCUGGGACGGUACUGACGCUGAGACGCGAAAGCGUGGGGAGCAAACAGG
rnacentral:rRNA from 1 species